AAGAUUUAUCGGUAUGAGAUGGCGAUGCGUCCCAUUAGCUUGUUGGCGGGGUAACGGCCCACCAAGGCAUCGAUGGGUAGGGGUUCUGAGAGGAAGGUCCCCCACAUUGGAACUGAGACACGGUCCAAACUCCUACGGGAGGCAGCAGUGAGGAAUAUUGGUCAAUGGACGCAAGUCUGAACCAGCCAAGUAGCGUGCAGGAUGACGGCCCUCUGGGUUGUAAACUGCUUUUAGUUGGGAAUAAAGUGCAUCACGUGUGAUGUUUUGUAUGUACCAUCAGAAAAAGGACCGGCUAAUUCCGUGCCAGCAGCCGCGGUAAUACGGAAGGUCCAGGCGUUAUCCGGAUUUAUUGGGUUUAAAGGGAGCGCAGGCGGACCUUUAAGUCAGCUGUGAAAUACGGCGGCUCAACCGUCGAACUGCAGUUGAUACUGGAGGUCUUGAGUGCACACAGGGAUACUGGAAUUCAUGGUGUAGCGGUGAAAUGCUCAGAUAUCAUGAAGAACUCCGAUCGCGAAGGCAGGUAUCCGGGGUGCAACUGACGCUGAGGCUCGAAAGUGCGGGUAUCAAACAGGAUUAGAUACCCUGGUAGUCCGCACAGUAAACGAUGAAUACUCGCGAUUUGCGAUACACAGUAAGUCGCCAAGCGAAAGCGUUAAGUAUUCCACCUGGGGAGC
rnacentral:rRNA from 1 species